ACAUGCAGAGAACUUCCAGAGAUGGAUUGGUGCCUUCGGGAACGUCUGACACAGGUGCUGCAUGGCUGUCGUCAGCUCGUGUCGUGAGAUGUUGGGUUAAGUCCGUAACGAGCGCAACCCUUGUCCUUAGUUACCAGCACGUUAUGGUGGGCACUCUAAGGAGACUGCCGGUGACAAACCGAGGAAGGUGGGGAGUGACGUCAAGUCAUCAUGGCCCUUACGGCCUGGGCUACACACGUGGCUACAAUGGUCGGUACAAAGGGUUGCCAAGCCGCGAGGUGGAGCUAAUCCCAUAAAACCGAUCGUAGUCCGGAUCGCAGUCUGCAACUCGACUGCGUGAAGUCGGAAUCGCUAGUAAUCGUGAAUCAGAAUGUCACGGUGAAUACGUUCCCGGGCCUU
rnacentral:rRNA from 1 species